ACCCCGCCCAUAGGCCAUGAGCAGCCUGACCCCGCCCCACCAGGAACUUCCCGCUGGCGGUGGCGGCGGACGGUGGCCGUGAGGGCCCAGUUCGCGCUCUCCCAUGGCGGAGCGGGAGGAUGUCGCUGGUGCUGGGGCUGCUGUCGCACACGCUGAGCAGGGUGCUGCGGUACUCCGGGCUGCGUAGGGGCUGCCAUGCCCCCCGGAGCCAGGCCAUGGAGCAGGACAAGGCGCUCGAGGUUUACGAUAUAAUCCGUACUAUCCGGGACCCGGAGAAACCGAAUACUCUAGAAGAACUGGAAGUGGUGACGGAAAGCUGUGUUGAAGUGCAAGAGAUCGGUGAAGAUGAAUAUCUGGUUAUCAUCAGGUUUACACCAACAGUACCUCAUUGCUCUUUGGCUACUCUCAUCGAUGAGGCCACAGUGGCAGCCAGGACACUCUGUCAGAGAUGUGGAAGAAAGCUGGAAAUGGAGGAUUUGUCUGUGUUUAGCGUUUCUAGGUGUUCAGAGACCUCCUAAACUUGUAAGGCAGGCCUUUGUUUAAGAAUAAAACUGCAGAGAUGUUUGCCUUUUCGACAUAAGCUGGAAAUUUACAUCUCUGAGGGUACACAUUCCACAGAGGAAGACAUCAACAAGCAAAUCAAUGACAAAGAGAGAGUAGCAGCUGCGAUGGAGAAUCCCAACCUGCGCGAAAUUGUGGAGCAGUGUGUCAUGGAGCCCGACUAGGAGCUGUAAUCGCCACAGAGUUGUCAUUUUGAUACAUUUCUAAAAAUAUCUUUGUUUAAAAAAAAAAUAAUCAAGGCCUUGAGUUGAAUACUUGAGUUCUUUUUAUCUUCCACGUGGUUUUUAAAAGAAAUUGUUUAUAAGAUAGAUUUAAAUUAUGAUUAAUUACUCUCUAAAAUAAAGUGAAGUGUAUAGUGUUAAGAGUUUGUAAUUUCUGGUGUCCAGAGAAAUAUUUUAUGAUUAAAAACAAAACAGCACAUCUGUAUUGCCUUCUGAUGGACAUUGUGAUAUAAAUUCAGUUUUGCAAGUUAAAUUUCUACAUUGUUUCAAUCACUGCACUGUAAAAAUAAAACCAAUUCUUGUACUGAAA